CCCGGGUACAAAUGGCUGCCUCAACAACGGGCAACUUCCUUCCCUCCUGGACUAACAUAAGACAUGGGACCCCUGGAUGGCGGGUUUUUAUCACCCAAAGACAGGCAUAGGAUAACAAAAUGUGAGGUCUUGGGAAGCAGUUGGCUGGGCCAUGUGGAAGAAGCAUGUAUAGACACUAUGAAAUAGACACUAUGGAUCAUAGACACUAUGAAAACAAUUGCCUGUUCCUGUGAAGAUAUUUUGUCAUCCCUAACACAAAGGAAAUCAAAUAAUGUAACAGCAACUUUCCAUAUUCUGAAAUACAAAUUGACCAGUGAGGACAGCCAUGAUCACAUGGAGACCCCUGGUUAAUCAGAAGCCCUGUUUGUGCUCUUCCCCCAUUUCUCCCCUCGAAAAG
rnacentral:lncRNA from 1 species